AGUGGCGGACGGGUGCGUAACGCGUAGGAAUCUGCCUGUUAGUGGGGGACAACUUGGGGAAACUCAAGCUAAUACCGCAUACGCCCUACGGGGGAAAGCGGGGGACCUUCGGGCCUCGCGCUAACAGAUGAGCCUGCGUUGGAUUAGCUAGUUGGUAGGGUAAAGGCCUACCAAGGCGACGAUCCAUAGCUGGUCUGAGAGGACGAUCAGCCACACUGGGACUGAGACAUGGCCCAGACUCCUACGGGAGGCAGCAGUGGGGAAUAUUGGACAAUGGGCGCAAGCCUGAUCCAGCAAUACCGCGUGUGUGAAGAAGGCCUGAGGGUUGUAAAGCACUUUUAAUCGGGAGGAAUAGCGGUCGGUUAAUACCCGGUCGUCUGACAUUACCGAUAGAAAAAGCACCGGCUAACUCCGUGCCAGCAGCCGCGGUAAUACGGAGGGUGCGAGCGUUAAUCGGAAUUACUGGGCGUAAAGCGUGCGUAGGCGGUUGCUUAAGUCAGAUGUGAAAGCCCCGGGCUUAACCUGGGAACUGCAUUUGAUACUGGGCGACUAGAGUUGAGUAGAGGAGAGUGGAAUUUCAGGUGUAGCGGUGAAAUGCGUAGAGAUCUGAAGGAACACCAGUGGCGAAGGCGACUCUCUGGACUCAAACUGUCGCUGAGGUACGAAAGCGUGGGUAGCAAACAGGAUUAGAUACCCUGGU
rnacentral:rRNA from 1 species